rnacentral:rRNA from 1 species
CCUACGGGAGGCUGCAGUGGGGAAUAUUGGACAAUGGGCGAAAGCCUGAUCCAGCCAUGCCGCGUGUGUGAAGAAGGCCUUCGGGUUGUAAAGCACUUUCAGUGGGGAAGAAAGCCUUGGGGCUAAUACCCUCGAGGAAGGACAUCACCCACAGAAGAAGCACCGGCUAACUCCGUGCCAGCAGCCGCGGUAAUACGGAGGGUGCGAGCGUUAAUCGGAAUUACUGGGCGUAAAGCGCGCGUAGGCGGUCUGAUAAGCCGGUUGUGAAAGCCCCGGGCUCAACCUGGGAACGGCAUCCGGAACUGUCAGGCUAGAGUGCAGGAGAGGAAGGUAGAAUUCCCGGUGUAGCGGUGAAAUGCGUAGAGAUCGGGAGGAAUACCAGUGGCGAAGGCGGCCUCUGGACUGACACUGACGCUGAGGUGCGAAAGCGUGGGUAGCAAACAGGAUUAGAUACCCCUGUAGUC